UUAAAACACACGUUCCAGUACGAACACCGAAGUUAAACAACAUCCAGCCUGGUUAGUACAUAGAUGGGUGAUCUGGUUGGGAAUAGCAGGUGCUGUAAG